rnacentral:snRNA from 1 species
AUACUUACCUGGCAGGGGAGAUACCAUGAUCAAGAAGGUGGUUCACCCAGGGCGAGGCUCGGCCAUUGCACUCCGGUUGUGCUGACCCCUGCGAAUUCCCCAAAUGUGGGAAUCUCGACUGCAUAAUUUCUGGUAGUGGGGGACUG